rnacentral:rRNA from 1 species
AGAGUGAACGCUGGCGGCAGGCCUAACACAUGCAAGUCGAACGGCAGCACAGAGGAGCUUGCUCCUUGGGUGGCGAGUGGCGGACGGGUGAGGAAUACGUCGGAAUCUGCCUAUUUGUGGGGGAUAACGUAGGGAAACUUACGCUAAUACCGCAUACGACCUACGGGUGAAAGCGGAGGACCUUCGGGCUUCGCGCAGAUAGAUGAGCCGACGUCGGAUUAGCUAGUUGGCGGGGUAAAGCCCACCAAGGCGACGAUCCGUAGCUGGUCUGAGAGGAUGAUCAGCCACACUGGAACUGAGACACGGUCCAGACUCCUACGGGAGGCAGCAGUGGGGAAUAUUGGACAAUGGGCGCAAGCCUGAUCCAGCCAUGCCGCGUGUGUGAAGAAGGCCUUCGGUUGUAAAGCUACGUUUUGACGGAAGUAAAGCUUUCGGUAAUACCCGGAAGUUCUAGACGGUACGUAAGAAUAAGCACCGGACUAACGUCGUACGCUA